UGUUCAUUUUUUACGCAUUACAAUCUCGACUUUUCUUUGCACCCUUCCUUCUCCUCUCGCUCUCCUCAUCAGACAUUGGAGCAUCUCCUCGUCUUCGCCCGUCUUUAUAGCAUGGCGUAUGGGAUCCCCGAAGAGGGAAUAAAGAAGCCCUGUUACCACUUAUAGAUGAUGGGCAUUGUGGCAGAAACUGAUGAAGCUGACAAUGUCUUUAUACAGCAGUGAACAAUCGAACCAUUUUUAGGGAAAUUCAAGAGCUUUGUGAAAGGAGCUUUUAUAAAUGAAGCUAGUCGAAGAGGAACUUUCAACUAUCGCUUUGGAGACUACGGCAUGUAUACAGUUUCAUGACUGCAUUUUGGUUUGCCUAAAGAGGUGAGCAACAAGCCAGAAAGUAGGGAGGUCAUUCCAGAGUAAGGAAUGCUUUGCGGGAUCUUAAUGGUCACAACUCACAAGUUUUGCGUGCCAACCAUACUCUCCGUGCCUGGAUUGAUGCUGCUGCAAGAUGGAACUCAUUUCAUCCAACGUUAGCUAAAUGGACUGAGAAAAAAGUAAACCAAAACAAAAAUAUGUUGAAGAAAAUAUAACUAUAAAAUAAAAAAAGUGAAAAGAUCCAAGCGUCAAUGCAAAACAGAGAGAAAGAGAGAGAGAGCGUGUGAGAGAGGCGCACUUGAGGUGUGCAUGUGCCUCAAACAACGGUGGCCAGGCAUGGCCUGUUUUCUCACAUCUUUGAUUCACCUAUAAGAUUAUAUUUAUAAAAUAUAGUUUAGAACACUACUAGACAAGUGUAAGUCAAAAUCGGGAGCUAUAGUUUUCAGUUCAGCUUAAUGAGAAGUUUAAGAUUUAGAAUCCUAUUUUGAUGCUUGAAAGCCAUAUAGAAAAAACAGUUACCAAGAAAACGAGUAGGCCUUUAAAUAUAAUUUGGUACUGUUUUUUUCUAAUUGCUUUGCAUUUGAAUUUUAUUUUGGACAAAAAACUAUAAAGUCAAGGUUGAUCAUUUUGGU